rnacentral:lncRNA from 1 species
AUGACUAACAGGUGGACUAUUAACAGUUUUAGGCUGAACAUUGGGUUUCAUCAAAAUCAGUCAAGUCAGAAUAAUGGGUCCCAAUUUCCUUGUAUGUCCUGUUGCAGUUUGCGCCUGUUCGUAUUCCAGCUCCUGAACUAUGGAUUCAGGCUGCCUGCGUUAGCGACGUUCCUCUGGAACAAUCAAAACGUGCGCUCCUGCGAGCAGAGGGGAGCGAGACUCGUGCCCAUGCGUACGGCCUGAGUCAAACGGCGGAGAAAGGCCUGUUCAGUGUCGCGUGCAAGCAGGACGUGGGAUGGCAUUGCCUGGACAGAAUGUGGGCAUGUUAGGCUUGUGUUUUAUAGCUGUGGCAUUCAGUCCCCUUUUUUCAAAAUACCAACUUGCUUACUAAGGUGUUUUUUUCCUGUUAGUUUACCGAGGACGUAUUUUUGGAUUAAACAUGCUCUCUUAAAACUUUGGUUAUAUUCAUUUUAAAGUUCAGUUACUAGUGGGUUUUUUUGAACAUGGAAUCUGGACCUACAAAGGGCCAAAACUACAAAAACGUUGAUUUCUUUGGAAGUUUACAUUAGGAUGUUGCUAGUUUUAGUGAACUUAUCACCACAUAAUUCUUGUCUAGGCUUUAUUUAUUUAUUUAAGCUACAGCUUCUUGAAUGGUCACCUGAGUACCUCACUAACUGCUAAAAAAAAAAAAAAAGAGAGAGAGAGAGAAAACCUANNNNNNNNNNNNNNNNNNNNNNNNNNNNNNNNNNNNNNNNNNNNNNNNNNUUUUGAACUGUUGAAAUCCUGUGAUUUCUAGAUCAGUCAUAAGCUACCUGAGAUGUACGUUUUUCCCUUUUUAGAGAAUCUGAAACUGCAUUGGGAGAAACUAAAUUUCCUUUACCAGGUCAGAAAAUGACCCAGAAAUUUCAGGUGAUCUUGACAGAACACAUUUGAGUGAUUUGAAAAGAGAAGUAGACAAAACAUUUUAACACAGAUGAAAAUCUUUGCCAAAUUAGUUUUUGUUCAUCCCUGAGACUUCUUAGAAAGAAGGAAUUAAGAGAUUCUGUGCCAAAAAACCCACCCAAAUCCUGUUUCUGUGUAUCUUUCUAAGUAGGUAUAUAUGAUAGGUUUUAAUAAUCACUUAUAACAUUUGCAUUAAAAAUUCUUUUAGGUUUCUUGUUGUUAUUCCGAGAAUACCAUUUUUAAGGCACCAAUCACUCUCUUCAGAUUGCGCCUGCCUUCAAUCAGUGGUGCAUCUGAUCUCAUUAUAAUUAUCUUAUCAUUUAGAUUAAUCAGUAUUUUGCAGUCUCAGUUGAUUAGGAAAUUACAAGUUGAACACAGUAUUCCUAGUAAAAAUACAAACUCAGUGUUGAAUAAAAGAAUGCUGGAGAACA